rnacentral:rRNA from 1 species
AAUUUGACCUCAAAUCGGGUGGGAUCACCCGCUGAACUUAAGCAUAUCAAUAAGCGGAGGAAAAGAAACUAACAAGGAUUCCCCUAGUAACGGCGAGUGAAGAGGGAAAAGCUCAAAUUUUGAAUCUGGCGCCUUUGGCUCCCGAGUUGUAAUCUAGAGAAGUGUCUUCCGCAUCGGACCGUGUAAAAGUUCCCUGGAACGGGACGUCAUAGAGGGUGAGAAUCCCGUACAUACCACGGACUACCUUUGCUCUGUGAUACACUCUCAACGAGUCGAGUUGUUUGGGAAUGCAGCUCAAAAUGGGUGGUAAAUUCCAUCUAAAGCUAAAUAUUGGCGAGAGACCGAUAGCGAACAAGUACCGUGAGGGAAAGAUGAAAAGCACUUUGGAAAGAGAGUGAAACAGUACGUGAAAUUGUUGAAAGGGAAGCGUUUGGAGUCAGUCGCGUCUGGCGGGAUUCAGCCUUGCUUCUGCUUGGUGUAUUUCCUGUCCGACGGGUCAGUGCCGAUUUUGACUGAGGGAGAAAGGCUUGGGGAAUGUGGCCAUCUUCGGGUGGUGUUAUAGCCUCUUGUUGUAUGUCUCAGUUGGGAUCGAGGAAUGCAGCGCGCCUUUUGGCCGGGAUCGCUCCUCGGUACGCGCUUAGGAUACUGGCAUAAUGGCUUUAAGCGACCCGUCUUGAAACACGGACCAAGGAGUCUAACAUGUGCGCGAGUGUUUGGGUGUCAAACCCGGACGCGUAAUGAAAGUGAAAGGUCGGGAACAUGUACUUGUGCACCGACGCCCGGAGCAGACCUACUGUGACGCAUCCGCGGUAGAGCGUAUACGUUGGGACCCGAAAGAUGGUGAACUAUGCCUGAAUAGGGUGAAGCCAGAGGAAACUCUGGUGG